AUCCCUUCCUACCUACCCCAGUGACUCUGUGGCAUCAGGGAAAACAGAUUCAUUGAGAAGCCAUUCUCUGAAACAUCUCAGAGAAAUGUAACUUCGGGAUUAUCUCAAAUGCACUGGAAACAUAAGUAGCAAAAGUCUUUCAGACGAAGAAACCUGCAUGGAAUAUGUUAAUAUAUGGUGCAGAUUGGGCGUAUUAGUGAUUAUGUGCUUGUCAGGGAUGCUGUGAAGAAGAGGCUCAUCAAAAACCAGGUGAAGGCUUUGAGACAAUGAGUGUGUGGAGAUUGCACAGCUUGCAGCCAAGGAGCAAUGGGAUGUCGGAGAAA